UACGUAGGUGGCAAGCGUUGUCCGGAAUCAUUGGGCGUAAAGGGCGCGUAGGCGGUUAUUUAAGUGAGUUGUGAAAACUCUGGGCUUAACCCGGAGAUUGCAGUUCAUACUGGAUAACUUGAGUGCAGGAGAGGAUAGUGGAAUUCCUAGUGUAGCGGUGAAAUGCGUAGAUAUUAGGAGGAACACCAGUGGCGAAGGCGGCUGUCUGGACUGUAACUGACGCUGAGGCGCGAAAGCGUGGGGAGCAAACAGG
rnacentral:rRNA from 1 species